rnacentral:rRNA from 2 species
UUUAAAGAGAGUUUGAUCCUGGCUCAGGACGAACGCUGGCGGCGUGCCUAAUACAUGCAAGUCGAACGAACGGAGGAAGAGCUUGCUCUUCCAAAGUUAGUGGCGGACGGGUGAGUAACACGUGGGCAACCUGCCUGUAAGUUGGGGAUAACUCCGGGAAACCGGGGCUAAUACCGAA